rnacentral:lncRNA from 1 species
UUACUCAUUUCUCCGGGCACGCCGACAAAUCCGCCGUAUACAAAGGAAUUCUCCUGUAUACGAAGCGAUAGCUGUACCUGUAAACAUACAAUAUUACAACUAUUAGUAUAGAGCUGCUAAAAGAAUGCAUAUAUAAAAUCAUCGGUUCAAUACAUACAUAAAAUCCUAGUACAAAAACACUCGCUCUAGCGAGGAGCAACAUCAGUAUAUAAAGAACCAAAAACUAUAACUACCUGUAGCCGGUACUCCUCUAGCUCUGCAACUCGUUAUGAAGGGCUCUAACUCGGAACACCCUUUCCGCGAUCAGAAUCAGCAGUAGCAGCAGCCGCAACCGAAGGCUCUGCAAAAGAUCCACAAGUUGGCGUGAGAACUACUACAAAAAGUAGUCCUCAGUGGGUACCGCUACCGACCUCAACGGCUCACCCACUAAGUCGACAGAUGAUAUGCUCAACGAUAGUAAAGAAACUGGAAACAAUCUACAGCUAUAUGCCACUAUACUAUCAUGAUCCAGCACUAACUAUCUGUAGAAUAAUGCAAUCACUGUGAAUACACCCGUCCCGCCUGUCGAAGCUAUACAGCUACCUCCACGCUCAGCUAUCCGUGGAGAGCAAGUCCAACCAGGACACAAUGACACCAACGCAAACGCACAAAGCCCAAGUACGAAGUGGCACUCGUGGGCGCUACCCAACCGAGUAUGUAAGCGUGUUUCUGCCGAGCUCAAUUAGGCUCUCAUAGGCUAUAGUCAAGUAAAUAGGGUCUAACUGGUCUAACACCCAAAUUCACGUGCCAUCGGCACAAUCUAAUGCAAAAACAGCAAUCUGGAUCCACCGUCAAUCUCAAAGGCACCCGACAGUCCGGAACAGCCUAAACACUGCUGUAAAAAUAAGCUCGGCAUCUCAGCACGAGCGUAAAUACAUUCUACACUAUCCUGGGUAUCCACCGCCCACAAACUGCGGUGAUACAAACAAAGUACGGCUCCUAGAGCUAAAUCUGGUAGUUUAAGCAAAUGACGGUGUAGAAUCGAUAAUUUUCUCCUAAGUCCAUGUCCAACAUGUAUAAUUUAGCUAACAUUCUCCGGAUUUGGAUAGGAUUUGCUACAGUAUUAGUGACUGGUCGACACAAGUGCGGACUAGAAUGGGAGACAUGUUUACAUAUUUUCAGCCCUCACCAUUUUUUUCAGAUGAUGCAGACGGUGAGGGUUGGAACGGUGUGUGAGGACGAUAUUAGAUAGCUGUGUU